AGCUCAUCGGUUUAGAGCACUCCGACUGAUAAGUCGGAGGGGUCGGCGGUUCGAACCCGUCA
rnacentral:tRNA from 1 species